UGAGGAAUUUUGCGCAAUGGGAGCAAUCCUGACGCAGCAACGCCGCGUGGGUGAUGAAGGCCUUCGGGUCGUAAAGCUCUGUCAGGUGGGAAGAAUGUCCCGGGACUGAACAGGUUCCGGGAGUGACGGUACAACCAGAGGAAGCACCGGCUAACUCCGUGCCAGCAGCCGCGGUAAUACGGAGGGUGCAAUCGUUAUUCGGAAUUACUGGGCGUAAAGCGCGGGUAGGCGGUCCCGCAAGUCAGGGGUGAAAGCCCCGGGCUUAACCCGGGAAGUGCAUUGGAGACUGUGGGACUUGAGUACUGUAGAGGAAGGUGGAAUGCCCGGUGUAGCGGUGAAAUGCGUAGAGAUCGGGAGGAAUAUCAGUGGCGAAGGCGGCUAUCUGGACGGUAACUGACGCUGAGACGCGAAAGCGUGGGGAGCAAACA
rnacentral:rRNA from 1 species